UCUUCCGAUCUAAGAGCGCAAGGGGAAUGCCUUGGCAUCAGGAGCCGAAGAAGGACGUGACAAGCUGCGAUAAGCUUCGGGGAGGUGCAAAUAACCGUCGAUCCGGAGAUUUCCGAAUGGGGAAACCCGGCAGAGCAAUACUCUGUCAGCGUGCGUUGAAUCAAAUAGGCGUACGUGGGGAACCGCCUGAACUGAAACAUCUAAGUAGGGCGAGGAAGAGAAAUCAACCGAGAUUCCGCCAGUAGUGGCGAGCGAACGCGGAAGAGGCCAAACCAGUGGAUUUAUUCACUGGGGUUGCGGACAGUCAAGAAGUGAGAAAUGGUUAGACGAAGGGUCUGGGAAGGCCCGCCACAGAAGGUGAGAGCCCUGUAGUCGAAAACGAUUUCUUAGUGGACUGGAUCCAGAGUACCACGGGACACGUGAAACCCUGUGGGAAACCGGGGGGACCACCCUCCAAGCCUAAAUACUACCUGAUGACCGAUAGAGGAGCAGUACCGUGAGGGAAAGGUGAAAAGGACCCCGGGAGGGGAGUGAAAGAGAACCUGAAACCUUGUGCUUACAAGCACUCAAAGCCCGUUAAGGGGUGAUGAGGUACCUUUUGUAGAAUGGUCCGGCGAGUUAUUGUUAUCAGCAAGCUUAAGGUAUUCAGUACCGAAGGCGUAGGGAAACCGAGUGUGAAUAGCGCGCAUGAAGUUGGUGGCAAUAGACCCGAAACCGGGUGACCUAUCCAUGGGCAGGUUGAAGUGGAGGUAAAACUCCAUGGAGGACCGAACGCACGUUCGUUGCAAUGACCGGCGAUGACCUGUGGAUAGCGGUGAAAUUCCAAUCGAACCCGGAGAUAGCUGGUUCUCCCCGAAAUAGCUUUAGGGCUAGCGUUAUGUUAGAUUACCGGAGGUAAAGCACUGAAUGGGCUAGGGGCUGAUAAAGUUACUGAACCCUAUCAAACUCUGAAUGCCGGAUAAUUGAUGAUCAGCAGUCAGACUACGUGAGAUAAGUCUCGUGGUCAAAAGGGAAACAGCCCAGACCCACAGCUAAGGUCCCAAAUAAUUGCUAAGUGGAAAACGAUGUGAGAUUGCCCAGACAACCAGGAUGUUGGCUUAGAAGCAGCCACACAUUAAAAGAGUGCGUAAUAGCUCACUGGUCGAGUGGUCUUGCGCGGAAAAUAUAACGGGGCUAAGCAGUUAACCGAAGCUUGGGCUUGCCGAAGGCAGGGGUAGGGGAGCGUCGAAUACGGGGUGAAGUCGCAGCGGGAGCAGCGGUGGACUGUAUUCGAGUGAGAAUGCCGGAAUGAGUAGCGAGAAUUAUGUGGGAAUCAUAAUGGCCGAAAAUCUAAGGUUUCCUGGGGAAGGUUCGUCCGCCCAGGGUUAGCCGGGAGCUAAGGCGAGGCCGCGAGGCGUAGUCGAUGCACAUACGGUUGAAAUUCCGUAGCCACCUUAUCGAAUGAAAGCUGACACUUGGAAAUAGCGGGACCCGGAGAUUGGUAGAUCCGGGCGUAAGGGACCGAACACGAGUAGGGAAGUCCGCGAUGUUCUGAGGCGAGAAAAGGCGAAGGUAGGGUGCCCGUACCGCAAACCGACACAGGUAGAUGAGGAGAGAAUCCUAAGGCCAACGGGAGAAGGGUUGUUAAGGAACUCGGCAAAAUGACCCCGUAACUUCGGGAUAAGGGGAGCCUGCGCGAGCAGGCCGCAGAGAAUAGGCCCAAGCGACUGUUUACCAAAAACACAGGUCUAUGCUAAAUCGAAAGAUGACGUAUAUGGGCUGACGCCUGCCCGGUGCUGGAAGGUUAAGAGGAGAUGUCAGGCAACGAAGCAUUGAAUCGAAGCCCCAGUAAACGGCGGCCGUAACGAUAACGGUCCUAAGGUAGCGAAAUUCCUUGUCAGGUAAGUUCUGACCCGCACGAA
rnacentral:rRNA from 1 species